CUGGGCAGGGCUGGGUUGGGCUGGGGGGAGCCACCGGCUCACUCGUGUGGAUCAUCCUGCCAGGGCCGGAGUUGGCGGCGCCGUCAUGAGGCCGAGCGCCCCAGCCGCCGCCGCCGCCGCCGCCGCCGCAGGGGCAGUACUUUGAAAUUGAUAUUGGACAUGAUUGUCACCAUACUUCAUCAACGCACAUAAAUUAUUUUCUUCUCUUUUUUGAAUGAUUUUUUAUACUACAAUGCAGCAAGCUUUAGAAUUAGCUUUGGAUCGUGCAGAGUAUGUCAUUGAAAGUGCCCGUCAGAGACCUCCUAAACGGAAAUAUUUAUCUAGUGGAAGAAAAUCUGUAUUUCAGAAGCUAUAUGACUUGUAUAUAGAAGAAUGUGAGAAAGAGCCUGAGAUAAAGCAGAAGCUGAGACGAAAUGUGAACUUGUUAGAGAAGCUCGUUAUGCAAGAAACACUCUCCUGUUUGGUAGUCAACCUGUAUCCAGGAAAUGAGGGCUAUUCUUUGAUGCUCAGGGGAAAGAAUGGAUCAGAUUCUGAAACCAUUCGCUUGCCUUAUGAAGAAGGAGAGCUGCUUGAAUACUUGGAUGCUGAAGAAUUACCACCUAUUUUGGUUGAUCUCCUGGAAAAAUCUCAGGUUAAUAUUUUUCAUUGUGGGUGUGUCAUAGCAGAAAUACGUGACUAUAGGCAAUCUGGAAAUAUGAAAUCUCCAGGUUACCAAAGUAGGCAUAUUCUCUUACGUCCAACAAUGCAGACUUUAAUCUGUGAUGUUCAUUCUAUAACAAGUGACAACCAUAAAUGGACACAGGAAGACAAACUUCUCCUUGAGAGCCAGCUUAUCUUAGCCACAGCAGAGCCAUUGUGUCUUGAUCCAUCUAUAGCUGUGACUUGUACUGCAAACAGAUUGCUUUAUAAUAAACAGAAGAUGAAUACCCGACCAAUGAAACGAUGUUUCAAGAGAUACUCCAGAUCUUCCCUGAAUCGGCAGCAGGAUAUGUCCCACUCCACAGCUCCUCCACAGCUAAGGUUACUUGAUUACUUGCAGAAAAGAAAAGAGAGAAAAACAGCCCAGCAGUAUGAUCUCAAAAUUUCUAAAGCAGGAAAUUGUGUGGAUAUGUGGAAGCAGAACCCUUGUUAUUUGACUACACCUUCAGAAGUGGAUGUGGAAAAGUAUGCUAAAGUGGAAAAGUCUAUCAAACCUGAUGACUCACAGCCAACUGUCUGGCCAGCACAUGAGAUAAAAGAAGAUUAUGUGUUCGAAUGUGAAGUUGGUAAUCAGUUUCAGAAAACAAAGCUAACCAUUUUUCAGUCACUUGGUAAUCCACUUUACUAUGGUAAAAUACAGACUUAUAGAAGUGAUGAAGAAUCUGAGAGCCCAAUGACACCAACCCAGUUCCUUAUUGGAUCAAAGACUGAUGCUGAAAGAAUAAUUAGUCAAUACCAAGAGUUGAUUCAGAAUGAAGCCAAAUGUCCAGUGAAGAUGUCUCAUAACUCAAGUGGAUCAGGCAGUCUUAGUCAACUUUCUCCAGGGAAAGAAAUGGAAUUAUCGACCAGCCAAGAUGGUGGAAUAGAAGGAAGUAGUACAGCUGAGCUGUCCCCUACAACUACUCCACAAAGAUCUAGAAAACGCAUCAGACCAAGUCCUGAUCGGGAAAUCCAAGAAAAAAUCACACCCGAGAGCUUAUUGAUUCAGCCAUCUGUGUUGGGAAAGGGAGUAAAACAUCGGCCUCCACCCAUUAAACUUCCUUCGAGUUCAGGAAGUAGCUCUUCAGGUAAUAUUUUUAGUCCACAACAAUCAGGCAGCCAUCUUAAGUCCCCAACUCCUCCCCCCACUUCUAAGCCACCUGGUCUUUCUCGAAAACCUUCCAUGGAUCUUAGUCAAGUUAGCAUGCUUUCUCCAGCUGCACUGUCACCUGCCAGCUCAUCACAAAGAUCUGGAACUCCUAAGCCAUCUACUCCUACACCAACCCCUUCAUCGACCCCACACCCUCCUGAUGCUCAGAGCUCAACUCCUAUUACCCCUUGUGCUACCCCUACUCCCCAAGAUUCAGGCUUCACCCCUCAGCCCACUUUGUUAACCCCGUUUGCUCAGCAGCAAAUGUCUCUGAGCCAGGCAAUGCCUGUAAUGACCAUUCCUCUUUCCACCAUGGUAACAUCUAUAACUACAGGAACUACGUCUACCCAAGUCAUGGCAAACCCUGCUGGACUUAACUUCAUCAAUGUAGUGGGCUCUGUGUGUGGAGCACAAGCAUUGAUGAGCAGUUCAAAUCCCAUGCUCGGGUGUAAUUCUGGUGCCAUAACCCCUGCAGGUUUAAAUCUGAGUGGCAUUUUACCUUCAGGAGGUCUGGUACCAGGUGCUUUGCCAGCUGCAAUGCAGUCAGCCUCUCAGUCAGGUGUUCCCUUUGGUUUAAAAAAUACUUCCAGUCUCAGGCCUUUAAAUCUACUCCAGCUUCCAGGAGGUUCACUCAUUUUCAAUCCACUCCAACAGCAGCAGCAGCAGCAGCAA